GACGAGCGCUGGCGGCGUGCUUAACACAUGCAAGUCGAGCGGUAAGGCCCUUUCGGGGGUACACGAGCGGCGAACGGGUGAGUAACACGUGGGUGACCUGCCCUCAGCUCUGGGAUAAGCCUGGGAAACCGGGUCUAAUACUGGAUAUGACUCCAUGACGCAUGUUGUGGGGUGGAAAGCCUUGUGCGGCUGAGGAUGGGCCCGCGGCCUAUCAGCUUGGUUGGUGGGGUGAUGGCCUACCAAGGCGACGACGGGUAGCCGGCCUGAGAGGG
rnacentral:rRNA from 1 species